UACGUAGGGAGCAAGCGUUGUUCGGAUUUACUGGGCGUAAAGGGCGCGUAGGCGGCGUGUCAAGUCGAUUGUGAAAUCUCCGGGCUUAACUCGGAACGGCCAAUCGAUACUGACGUGCUAGAGUGCAGAAAGGGCAAUCGGAAUUCUUGGUGUAGCGGUGAAAUGCGUAGAUAUCAAGAGGAACACCUGAGGCGAAGGCGGGUUGCUGGGCUGACACUGACGCUGAUGCGCGAAAGCCAGGGGAGCGAACGGG
rnacentral:rRNA from 1 species